UGUUAUAAAAUCCUCAUAGUUGUAAAUUAACUUUAAAUUUUUAGAAACUCAAUUCACACCCCCCCUCUCUUGGGUUGCAUAGCUGGGCAACAAGAGCCUGAAUAGAUUAGGCUGAACCCUAUCUAAUAGAAAAUUCAAUUCAAGAGAAACUUAAGUCUAAUCAUGUGCUAGCAUGAUUUUCUUAGACCCAAUUGGACCCAAUUGAGUCCAAUUAAGCAAUUCCAAACUAAAAUCUUUUAAUGUAUG
rnacentral:lncRNA from 1 species